rnacentral:rRNA from 1 species
UACAGAGGUGGCAAGCGUUGUUCGGAAUUACUGGGCGUAAAGGGCGCGUAGGCGGCCUUCUAAGUCGGACGUGAAAGCCCCAGGCUUAACCUGGGAACUGCGUCCGAUACUGGGAGGCUUGGAUUCGGGAGAGGGAUGUGGAAUUCCAGGUGUAGCGGUGAAAUGCGUAGAUAUCUGGAGGAACACCGGUGGCGAAGGCGGCAUUCUGGACCGACAUUGACGCUGAGGAGCGAAAGCCAGGGGAGCAAACGGG